UGUUAUUUUUUUCACUCGAACCCUAACUCUCACUUUGACUACGAUUGACACCAGCACCUCCUUCGACGCUCUCUGACCUGAGCUCAUUCUCUCUCACUCUUGCCUGGAACCCUAAACCCUAUAGCGCUCGCCUCCUUCCUCUCAUGCUCUAUUUCCAUGGCUACUGUCUCUCCCUCAUUAACCACCUCCGUCCCCUCACCGGCGCCAUCGCCUCUGCGGGCAAGCUCUCUCCGGUAGCAAGCUGGUGCUUCUCGUCCAACAGAAGGCGGAGUGGCGGGAGAGGAAACGCGCCUGACGCAGGAAGCGACGAGAAUCCGGAUCUGACGGUGAAACCGGGUCGAGGUCCGAGAAGAAGAGAAUCAGAAGAAAGAGAGGAAAAUGGAGAGAGAAGAAGACGACCCAGUGAGCGAGGUUCUCAGAGAUCGAUUCAGCUCUCCACCAUCUCUAUCGCUGAUGCCGAAGGUACUAAAAUCUUCACACUCAUUAAUUCGACGGCUUUUGAUUUCGUUUCUGGUUUUUUUCUCAGUUUUCAAUUAUAGUUCUCCAAGCAGCGAAGAGAAGGGGCAUGGAGAUAUCAAAACCCGUGGUGGCUUGCAUUUCCGACUUGACCUUCAAAUUUACUGGUAGUUGCUGGGGUUUCUUUGGGCACCCAAAAUAUAAUGGUGCAAGGUUUGCUGCUUGUAUAAUAUUCAUGGGACUGAUGUUGAUUACGGUCCAGUUGUUCAUGCCUUUGCGAUAGUUACUCUGAACUCAGCUUUCUUCUAUGUAGACAAAAGGAAGGUUGAAUCUGAGGUCAGUUGACUCAUAUGUAUCUAUUUUUAUCAUCUUCUCAGGCAAUAUUCAUAUGGUGGUGAAUACUGGUUUUCAGUUUGAACUUAUCAAGACUCUGAAUGCACAAAACAGGUCGCCCUGUACUUGUUGGCACAACUAGUGUUGAGCAGAGUGAUUCAUUGUCUGAGCAUUUGCAAGAAGUUGGCAUUCCCCAUGAGGUCGAGGAACAGACAUAAUCCUUGGUGGUAAUGCAGAAUUUAUGGUGAGGUUGCGUGAGAUGCUUAUGCCAAGAGUUGUAAAACUAACUGAAGGACUCAGUGAAAAAACUUCUGCCGAAAAAGUCCUAGAAGGUUAAUGAAAAGCUAUUUCCAUGCAAACUGUCCAAUGAAAAGACCAAGUUAGCUGAGGAAGCUGUGAACUUAGCUGUUGAAACUUGGGGUCAGAGAUUAUUGACGGAGCUAGAAGCAGAGGAGCGUCUUUCUUACUCUUGCGAAAAGAGACCUGCUUUGGAUGAAGUGAUAUAUACCCCAAAUCUCAAUUAUUCAACUCAGUCCAGGUAUAUUAUUCUUUUCCAGCCUUUGGGGACUGUCAAGUUCGGGUCAUGCUGAGUAUUGGGUGUUUUUAGUGGUUCUCACUGGUAGUAACAGGAUUGUCCGAGUUUUGUGAGACAUUUUAUAGAAUGGAAAUAGCAUAGGGCUAUUGGUUCGAUAUAACGUAGUAGCAACCUUACAUCUGGAAUGAACCAUAUGUGAUAUUAUGAAUUUGGAACUGAAAUCAAGAACUUUCAGAGAAUGUUAAUGUUUGAAUGUACCAUGUGUUGUUAAUGUAACUGCCCUUUUAUCACAUUUAUUGAUGUUUCUCUUUCUAUUACAUGCAUGUUGCUGUGUUAAUUGAUUGAACCUAGUCAUGCAUUGUUAAAAUAUACUUUAUCAAGGAGAGUAACAGACAUCUCCUUUGAUUCU